rnacentral:ncRNA from 2 species
UUGUUCAGUUACCUAUUCGGUUUUGAUGGGGAGCAGCCAUCAGACGCAAGGGGGAAAGUGCAGUGUAAAUCUGCCGCUGUCCCGCAGCUGUAAGGAGAGGCGCAACUCUCUGAGUCAGAAUGCCCGCCGAUUGGUAAACCCGUUA